rnacentral:misc_RNA from 1 species
AAACAUAUUAGAAAAAAAAAAAAAGACGUCGCUAUAGAUGCUCAUUUAGGCUAAAUGCAAAGGUGAAAACGUUUCAAUGUUCGAUUUCUAAUUGCCAAGCAACCUCGAGAACAGAGAAAUAAUAAAAUCUUGUGUUUUCAAGUGAAAUGGAGUCCAAAACUUUGGCUGAUUUAAGUUCGGGCCCUGAACUUGAGGGUCCAUUUUUCUUAAGAACAAGGCAUCUUAGAAACCUAAAAUCAUAAAUGCAAUGUUAUAUAUUUCUCUCCUCCCUCUGUUUUUUUGCAUCAAAACAAAUAGGGAAUAAAUCCAUUCCAACAAAUUAAAUGGUAAUUAUUCUCUUUUUUUCUUUUUUCUUUUUACAUUAUUUUUCUUACCUAAAGUAUAUAUCAGUUUUUUUUUAACAAAAAAACCUCAACCAAGCCAAAUAGUUUAAUUUUGCUUGGUUGAAUGGCUACCCUGCUGAGUUUUAAAAGAAGUGAGACAAUUUCAACUAAUCCUUACAGCUAUAUUUCACAGUUUCAGAAACAUAUUCCUAGUAGGGCAUAAACAGAAGUAAAUAAGAGUCAGGAAGCCAAUGUACUACAUCCCAAAUAAGCCCCACAAAAUUCAAAUAACAAAACCAUGCAUUUUAAAAAGUGUGGAUUGUUAUGCGAUCCAUGAUAUGCUCCAAAUAUUUUUGGAGGGUUUUGAAUAAUAAUCUAAGCAUAUAAAAGUGCUUCUGGAUUUCAACUUUUCAAUUGUCUUCUCCCAUUGUAAGCCUCAAAAUUUUAAGUGAAUCUCAGCAAUAAUACACAUAAAAACAGCUCAUGUUGUCCAAAAUUUUUAACAUUAAGAAUCCAAAUUUCGAGCUUCACUUGUUCACAUUUCCAGACAAUUUCUUUUAAAAAAGAAAAGCCGCCACAGACAAAACAUCAAUUAUAUAAGCACAAAUCACAUAUAAUCUAAUAUAUUUACAAACACAAAUGCAUUCAAAUUGCCAAAUGAAGAACACUUCAACUAUCUAAAUCGCGCAUUAAGUUCAAAUGAGUAAAACAACUAAAAUAGAUACUCGCAUCAAGUAAUGAAUGAUCACGAAAAUGAGAAAAAAAGGGCUCCAAUUUUCCUUCAAAAUCCUACAUUUCCUAGGAAACCAAGCGGGGAGAGAAAUAGAAAUAGCUCCUAAAAAACACUCUUUUCUCUUUGCAGUUAACCUAAGCUGGACUAGGAAUUGAUAGAAAAAGGGAAAUCAAUGAUAAGAAAUGCUGGAGACAACAGAGAUAAAAGAGAGAGAAG